UGGGGAAUCUUAGACAAUGGGCGCAAGCCUGAUCUAGCCAUGCCGCGUGUGUGAUGAAGGCCCUAGGGUCGUAAAGCACUUUCGCCAGAGAUGAUAAUGACAGUAUCUGGUAAAGAAACCCCGGCUAACUCCGUGCCAGCAGCCGCGGUAAUACGGAGGGGGUUAGCGUUGUUCGGAAUUACUGGGCGUAAAGCGUACGUAGGCGGAUCAGAAAGUAUGGGGUGAAAUCCCAGGGCUCAACCCUGGAACUGCCUCAUAAACUCCUGGUCUUGAGUUCGAGAGAGGUGAGUGGAAUUCCGAGUGUAGAGGUGAAAUUCGUAGAUAUUCGGAGGAACACCAGUGGCGAAGGCGGCUCACUGGCUCGAUACUGACGCUGAGGUACGAAAGUGUGGGGAGCAAACAGGAUUAGAUACCCUGGUAGUCCACACCGUAAACGAUGAAUGCCAGUCGUCGGGUAGCAUGCUAUUCGGUGACACACCUAACGGAUUAAGCAUUCCGCCUGGGGAGUACGGUCGCAAGAUUAAA
rnacentral:rRNA from 1 species